rnacentral:rRNA from 1 species
UACGGAGGGGGCUAGCGUUGUUCGGAAUUACUGGGCGUAAAGCGCACGUAGGCGGCGAUUUAAGUCAGAGGUGAAAGCCCGGGGCUCAACCCCGGAACUGCCUUCGAUACUGUACGGCUCGAGACCGGAAGAGGUGAGUGGAACUGCGAGUGUAGAGGUGAAAUUCGUAGAUAUUCGCAAGAACACCAGUGGCGAAGGUGGCUCACUGGUCCGGUUCUGACGCUGAGGCGCGAAAGCGUGGGGAGCAAACAGG